rnacentral:lncRNA from 1 species
AGAAUCGAUGAACAGGAUUUCAGAUGGCCGUUGCCAAUAGGUCACCUCUGAAAGCUAUAGGUCCUCAUUGCUGCAAGCAUCCAAGAAGAGGCUGCUCGUGAUUCAGGAAUGCUAUUCAGAGAGACUGUGGAGCUGGGGCAAAAAGCAUGGAGCCUUACCCCCAUGGUGACUUCAGGAAAAGAAAAAAGGCAGGAAGUAACACAACAAGCUCAGAAGAAAGUCUCGCCAACAGAUGGAAUGAAAUGGAAGAGAAAAUGUCAAGUCUUGAAGACAAAGUAGAAAAAUGGAUCGAUCAUCCAAAGACUAUGUGAACUAUAAAUUAAAAAUCUAGGCAUUCAGGGAAUCUGGGACAGUAUGAAGAGACCAAAUCUAUGAAUAAUUGAUAUAGAGGAAGGAGAAGAAACUCAAGUGAAAGCCACAGAAAAUAUCUUUUAACAAAAAUCAUAGAAUAAAAAAUUUCAAAUCUAAAGAAAGAGACUCCUAUCAAAAUGCAUGAGGUAUACAGAACACCAAACAGAUAGGACCAGAAAAGAAACUCUCUUUGGCAUAUAAGUGUACAGAACAAAGAUAUGGGUAAAAAAAGAAGUCACCUAUAAAGACAGGGUCGUUAGAAGAGCCUCUCAGUGGACUUUCAAUAGAGAUUUUGGAAGCCAGAAGGGCCUGGGCAGACAUUCUAC